rnacentral:rRNA from 1 species
AUUGAACGCUGGCGGCAGGCCUAACACAUGCAAGUCGAGCGGGGUUUUCGGACCUAGCGGCGGACGGGUGAGUAAUGCGUAGGAAGCUACCCGAUAGAGGGGGAUACCAGUUGGAAACGACUGUUAAUACCGCAUAAUGUCUACGGACCAAAGUGUGGGACCUUCGGGCCACAUGCUAUCGGAUGCGCCUACGUGGGAUUAGCUAGUUGGUGAGGUAAUGGCUCACCAAGGCGACGAUCCCUAGCUGGUUUGAGAGGAUGAUCAGCCACACUGGAACUGAGACACGGUCCAGACUCCUACGGGAGGCAGCAGUGGGGAGUAUUGGACAAUGGGCGCAGGCCUGAUCCAGCCAUGCCGCGUGUGUGAAGAAGGCCUUCGGGUUGUAAAGCACUUUCAGCGAGGAGGAAGGGUGGUGUGUUAAUAGCACAUCAUUUUGACGUUACUCGCAGAAGAAGCACCGGCUAACUCUGUGCCAGCCGCCGCUGUAAAAC